GUCCUCUCUUCAGCAGUACAUAUACUAAAAUUGCAACCUACAGAGAUUAGCAGGGCCCCUGUGUUAGGAUGACACGCUCAUUUGUGAGGCUUUGAAGAAUAUU